AGCUUGCUCUCGGGUGACGAGCGGCGGACGGGUGAGUAAUGUCUGGGAAACUGCCUGAUGGAGGGGGAUAACUACUGGAAACGGUAGCUAAUACCGCAUAAUGUCGCAAGACCAAAGUGGGGGACCUUCGGGCCUCAUGCCAUCAGAUGUGCCCAGAUGGGAUUAGCUAGUAGGUGGGGUAACGGCUCACCUAGGCGACGAUCCCUAGCUGGUCUGAGAGGAUGACCAGCCACACUGGAACUGAGACACGGUCCAGACUCCUACGGGAGGCAGCAGUGGGGAAUAUUGCACAAUGGGCGCAAGCCUGAUGCAGCCAUGCCGCGUGUGUGAAGAAGGCCUUCGGGUUGUAAAGCACUUUCAGCGGGGAGGAAGGCGAUAAGGUUAAUAACCUUGUCGAUUGACGUUACCCGCAGAAGAAGCACCGGCUAACUCCGUGCCAGCAGCCGCGGUAAUACGGAGGGUGCAAGCGUUAAUCGGAAUUACUGGGCGUAAAGCGCACGCAGGCGGUCUGUCAAGUCGGAUGUGAAAUCCCCGGGCUCAACCUGGGAACUGCAUUCGAAACUGGCAGGCUAGAGUCUUGUAGAGGGGGGUAGAAUUCCAGGUGUAGCGGUGAAAUGCGUAGAGAUCUGGAGGAAUACCGGUGGCGAAGGCGGCCCCCUGGACAAAGACUGACGCUCAGGUGCGAAAGCGU
rnacentral:rRNA from 1 species